rnacentral:rRNA from 1 species
UAAGACGGAGGGGGCAAGCGUUGUUCGGAAUUAUUGGGCGUAAAGGGCUCGUAGGCGGACUGGUAAGUCUGAUGUGAAAUCUCCAUCGCUCAACGAGGAGAGGUCAUUGGAAACUGCCAGUCUGGAGUACGGUAGAGGACCAUGGAAUUCCAGGUGUAGCGGUGGAAUGCGUAGAUAUCUGGAAGAACACCGGUGGCGAAGGCGGUGGUCUGGGCCGUUACUGACGCUGAGGAGCGAAAGCCAGGGGAGCGAACGGGAUUAGAUACCCCGGUAGUCCUGGCUGUAAACGUUGGAUACUAGGUGUGGGGGGUAUCGACCCCUCCCGUGCCGAAGUUAACACAUUAAGUAUCCCGCCUGGGGAGUACGGCCGCAAGGUUG